rnacentral:rRNA from 1 species
UACGAAGGGGGCUAGCGUUGCUCGGAAUCACUGGGCGUAAAGCGCACGUAGGCGGAUCUUUAAGUCAGGGGUGAAAUCCCAAGGCUCAACCUUGGAACUGCCUUUGAUACUGGGGAUCUCGAGUCCGGAAGAGGUGAGUGGAACUGCGAGUGUAGAGGUGAAAUUCGUAGAUAUUCGCAAGAACACCAAUGGCGAAGGCAGCUCGCUGGGACGGUACUGACGCUGAGACGCGAAAGCGUGGGGAGCAACAGGAUA